AAUAAUGUGGAGUACCCUCCCAACCCAAUGUGAACGUUACCAAACUGUUGCCUCCGGCGGGAUCCUCUGCCCCGGGUGCGUCGCAGCCCCGGACCAAGGCGCCCGCCGGAGGACCAACCAAAACUCUUAUUGUAUACCCCCUCGCGGGUUUUUUUUAUAAUCUGAGCCUUCUCGGCGCCUCUCGUAGGCGUUUCGAAAAUGAAUCAAAACUUUCAACAACGGAUCUCUUGGUUCUGGCAUCGAUGAAGAACGCAGCGAAAUGCGAUAAGUAAUGUGAAUUGCAGAAUUCAGUGAAUCAUCGAAUCUUUGAACGCACAUUGCGCCCGCCAGUAUUCUGGCGGGCAUGCCUGUCCGAGCGUCAUUUCAACCCUCGAACCCCUCCGGGGGGUCGGCGUUGGGGAUCGGCCCUGCCUUGGCGGUGGCCGUCUCCGAAAUACAGUGGCGGUCUCGCCGCAGCCUCUCCUGCGCAGUAGUUUGCACACUCGCAUCGGGAGCGCGGCGCGUCCACAGCCGUUAAACACCCAACUUCUGAAAUGUUGACCUCGGAUCAGGUAGGAAUACCCGCUGAACUUAAGCAUAUCAAAACGGGAGAGAGAA
rnacentral:rRNA from 1 species